rnacentral:piRNA from 1 species
UAACGUUUGUACGAUGGCAGUUCCACCU